ACUUCUCAAGUGAUCAGCUGUGUCGGUCGUGUGUGCGCGUUUUGUGCCUGCAGCCUCACUGUGUUCUCGCCGCUGGAUGUGAUAUGCGUGGUUUGACGACAGUGCGACAUGCUGCGCUGCGAGUGCGAUAAUCGCGACGGCCCGUCGACUCAAGCGAGCGUGCCGCUGUGCAUUACCAAGCAGAUGAUGGGCGCCCUGCGUGCUCGGCACAGUCAGGAACAAAAAUGCAUCUACCUUGGAUGCAGUCAACUACCCUGGACAUCUUUCUCCCGCCAUGCAACUGUGAGAACCCACCAAAGCACAGAUUGUCAGGAAGUGAAAAGACUUUUCUGCAACAAUUUUGCAUUGCGCACUCUGCCCGUCUCCUGAAAUAGCAUAUUAAGGUACAUAAGCACUGUACCUUCAUACAUAUGCAUCAAGGAACAGUGAAAUAGCAUAUCAAGGUACAUUAACAUCAUUAGCUUGGAUUCAUUUAGCUAGAACGAAUAAAUCAUGUUAAAGCUAUACAAUGACGGCCAUAUCAUGUGACAGACAUCUGCUAAGUGCAGUGUGUAUUGUGAAGCACAUGCAUUUUAUGGUAUUGAAUGAAUGGAUAAAUGUUUAUUCCAGCAAAAUACAGGAAAUGGGCCUCAAGUGAAAAGCGACAAUGGUAGCUUGAGAAGUGCACA